GUAACGGUUAGGAAAGUAAAAUAUACGUGCGCUGAGAGAAUAUUAUAUGUGCAAUUGUAUCCAUUUAUUAUAUCUUUAAUCGCGAAUAUCAAUUAUUAUAAUCACAACAUGAACACAAUGGCCAGAUAGUAAGCAGAUAAAAGAAAAUUUGAAAUCGAUACAUUAUGAAUUUUAGUAACUUUUGUACUAACAAUCCUUCACUAUGUUGAUAACAAUCAUUUAUUCUGUGGUACAUAUCAUAUUUAUUCAUCGCUCUUAUUAAACGUAAGUCUCUCUCAACUCCAAUACCAUCAAACUGUUCUUCCAGCUACAUAAAAUCCUCGGAACAAUCCAGACAAUCGGUGAGCAACGUGUCAAACCAAUAUCAGCAUAAACAAAAAUCCAGUCUUCGUGUAAGUCGCGAGAGGAUCAAGACGGCGGCACCAGACGAUCCUCAGACCGGGGCGAAAAUACGCUGGAAAACAGAAGGAAAACGGAAUGUCGCGCCGCGUCUGGUUGCGGGUGGAAAGUUAAGUGCAUUUCGCGAAACAGCAGAGAUUCCUUUGAAGCCUCGUUCCGCGAGGAUAAGAAAGGGUUCACUGUCCGCUCCUUUUUCUCUCUCUCUCUUUCUCUUUCUCUUUCUCUCCUCUUUUCUCUAUUCUCUUUCCUUCUCUCUCUGUAAUCCUCUCUUGUACGUUUUCGCGCGGGGUGACAUGCAGAUGCCGAGCUCAGCCUUUAAACUCGAAGCUGCUUUCACCCCAGUCCUCGUCACACCGGAGGUCCCGUCGACUCGGAUCAAGCUUUCCGCCAUUCGUCUCUGUACGCAAGCUACCUAACCUCUCCGCGAGAUUUUCUAUCGAACAACAGCGAGCCCACGCGGCUAUAAAUAAUCGGUAUCCUUCGUUGCUUGUACCACCGUCUCCCUUGUGACGAUUUUUGAUUUACUAUUUAGGUACUUUGCGCCGUAAAGCGAUACAAUGCCGAGAAAAUCGCGACGUCUACGGUCCCCAUGGAAUAUGGCGGAGGGAUUGGCUCGGGACUGGGGUUUGCCCGUGACAGUGAGAUAAGAGAUUGCUGCGGAGGUGUAUUGGGAUUGGCGAAUGUUUCGUGAUUAUGAUUGAAUGGUUCACGUAAUUCGAUAUUAAUUUUUAGGGUGUUUUUAGGUCGAGAUCAUUGUUUGGAGAGCGUGGAAUCUAGAUUGAAGUUAGGAUAAGGAUCUGAUUUGAAACUGGAGAAACGUUUAGAAUUUAUUGAUUUAGGGAGACUGUUUGAUUUUUUU
rnacentral:misc_RNA from 1 species